GAUGGCUCAGUUGGUUGGAGCAUCUUCUCAAGCACCAGAAGGUCCCAGGUUCGACUCCUGGUC
rnacentral:tRNA from 1 species